AUAUAUCCACAAUUAAAAACUUGGAACUUAACGAAAAAGCUGAAGGAAAAUAAAUCCAUAUCACAAUCAUACUAGAACCAUUUUACAUCUUGAACAAGCUACAAAGGACUUUAUUUCCACUUUUUAUUAGAAUCGAAUUCCAAAUUCUGGAUUCUAGACUAUACCUCCAUAUUGGAUAUUCUCGUACAUUUGAGAAGAAAUUACGAGGAUGAUCCCAUUGUCAGAUGCAGAAAUCUAAUCUCCGGGCUAGAGUGGAUUCCAUUGUGCCCGCACGUCAACGAGCAAGCACCGUGGGACGUGGUAGAGGAAAAAAAACGGCAAGAUGAAAGAGACAGAGUUUCAGUUUCUAUUUUCAUGAAGGA